ensembl:lncRNA
UGAGGACUUCUCAGAAACCGUGUUCACUUUAAAAUGAAAGCGAAACUGAUGUGUGUUGGUGUGGUGCACGGUGCUGAACGUUUAUUUAGCUCCUUACCGAUCACAGGCGGACAGAUGAUCAAACCAACAAGGAGAGAGAGUAAGAGAGGAUGUGAAAGACAAUGUGGAUAUACUAUACCGUCGGAUUACCGCGUCUUCUCUCUACUAGUUUGGACGUUUAUUGAUGAUCAAGAACAGGAUUAAUACCGCUGUGAUUCUGUGAUUAAAAAACGUCGGAAAAUAUAAAAAGUGCAUCAGGAAAAGAAACUACAUUGCACUCGUUUUGCAAAACGGUUUGACCCAACAUCUGUGGGACUAUCAGUUAGUUAAAUGGUUGGUAGGCAGACGGGAUACAGACAGACCCAGCAGGUUGGUAGGCAGGUAGGCAGACGGAUACAGACAGACCCAGCAGGUUGGUAGGCAGGUAGGCAGACGGAUACAGACAGACCCAGCAGGUUGGCAGACAGAUACAGACAGACCCGGUAGGUUGGUAGGUAGGCAGACAUAUACAGACAGACCCGGUAGGUUGGUAGGUAGGCAGAUACAGACAGACCCGGCAGGUAGUUAGGUUGGUAGGCAGGUAGACAGACAGACCCGGCAGGUAGGCAGACAAACCCGGUAGGUAGGCAGAUAGACCCGGUAACUGUAGACAUUUUAGGUUUCCAUUGAGCCGGGUUUAAUAAGACAAACAACAUAUAUAUAUAUAUAUAUACAUAGAGACAGAGAUAUUUCACGUUAUAUAUUAUCUACCUCACUUGCUUUGGCAAUGUUAACACAUGUUUCCCAUGACAAUAAAGCCCUUGAAUUGAAUUGAGAGAGAGAGAGGUGUCAUGGAAACGGUAGAGAUAGGAGACAUUUUCCGAAGGUCGACAACAUUUUAUCCAUUGAACAGGGGUGGAUUUUUCUAUCUGUCUAACCCUCUUUAUUAAAAUAAACAAAACAAAUGAUGAUGCUAAGUACCAUCACUCAUUCAUAUAUCUUUAUGUACAUAUUCUUUAUCCCCUAACACUGUGUAUAAGACAGUAGUUUUGGAAUUGUUAGUUAGAUUACUUGUUGGUU